UAAGCAUAUCAAUAAGCGGAGGAAAAGAAACCAACAGGGAUUGCCCCCAGUAACGGCGAGUGAAGCGGCAACAGCUCAAAUUUGAAAUCUGGUCCCCCCGCGGGGCCCGAGUUGUAAUUUGAAGAGGAUGCUUCUGGCAAGGUGCCGUCCGAGUUCCCUGGAACGGGACGCCGCAGAGGGUGAGAGCCCCGUACGGUCGGACGCCGAGCCUCUGUGAAGCUCCUUCGACGAGUCGAGUAGUUUGGGAAUGCUGCUCAAAAUGGGAGGUAAACCCCUUCUAAAGCUAAAUACCGGCCAGAGACCGAUAGCGCACAAGUAGAGUGAUCGAAAGAUGAAAAGCACUUUGAAAAGAGAGUUAAAAAGCACGUGAAAUUGUUGAAAGGGAAGCGCUUGCGACCAGACUCGCGCCCGUCGGAUCAGCCGUCGCUCGUCGGCGGCGCACUCCGGCGGGCUCGGGCCAGCAUCAGUUCGCCUCGGGGGGAGAAAGGCGGCAGGAAUGUGGCUCUACGGAGUGUUAUAGCCUGCCGUACAAUACCCCCGGGCGGACUGAGGACCGCGCGUAUGCAAGGAUGCUGGCGUAAUGGUCGUCAGCGACCCGUCUUGAAACACGGACCAAGGAGUCGUCCUAAUAUGCGAGUGUACGGGUGUCAAACCCCUGCGCGUAAUGAAAGUGAACGGAGGUGAGAGCUUCGGCGCAUCAUCGACCGAUCCUGAUGUUCUCGGAUGGAUUUGAGUAAGAGCAUAUUGGGCCGGACCCGAAAGAAGGUGAACUAUGCCUGUGUAGGGUAAAGCCAGAGGAAACUCUGGUGGAGGCUCGCAGCGGUUCUGACGUGCAAAUCGAUCGUCAAACAUGGGCAU
rnacentral:rRNA from 1 species